GAGAAAGCAAUGAAAAGAAGAGUACAUCUGAUGAACGUUCUAAGAGAGUCCCGUUAAGCUGAGAGGGGAUAACGAUAAUGAGAUGGAAGAUGGUCUUUGAGCAGAAUUGACGAGCGUAAGUGAGUCAGUUACGGGAGUGCCCGUUACAGCACCUCAGUAUGCGAAUUGCAACGUUCAAGUACUGGAUGAGGUGGUUGUCGCGAGGCAAUCACAAAUAUAGGUGGUAACACGAAAGUCAAGCUUUCGUCCUAAGU
rnacentral:ncRNA from 1 species